GAACCAAGGCUUGGGUUUUGCUCUGGAAGCCUGUCCUGCCUGCUUCUGUAAUCUGGCGCUCUCACCAUCCAGAUCUUGGCCCGUUAUGGACACCACCGUCUGUUACUCUUACGAUUCUCUGCUCUUUUGGGAGUUCAGACAUGGCACCUUAUUUCACUUUUGAGCUACCCUCUGCCGUCCAGAAACUUAGUGGACCUGUAGAACUAUAUUGUUCUGCUAAACCUGUGACCACUCACAUCUCAAGGUCGCAUAAUGGAAAAAAUAGAAUAGAAACAUGGAAUAUAUUAAGAUUCAUCAGGGGACUUUGACAAUUUUUUUCUCUUAACUCCUCCCUUUUGGGUUACUACCAGUGCAUUCUCAACAAUAGGUCGGUGUUGUUGUAAGUGGCCCUGUAACAGUAUCCACAGCAGUUCUUGGUGAUUUUGAUUCAUCCACAAAGCAUUUUAUUACAGCAAAAUAAUAAAGGUGCUGGUUUCAUUGGCUGCAGGGUACCAGAGAGUAACCCCAAAGCUGAGGUGUGCGCUAAAAUCCAGGGGAAGUGGCUGAAGCAUUCCACAAAGAAUUACUUAAUCCCUCCACAAGAACAUCUUUAGAUUUUGAACGUAUCCUCAGAGGACAAGGGAUCACACAAAUGUGCAGCUUAUAAUCCGGCCACACAUGAAUUAAGAGUUGAACCCAUUGGCCAAAAGCUCCUUGUGAGUCACCUUUCUUCAGAGGAUUUUGGCAUUCUUCCCCUGCUCGUUCACAGGUAUUAGCUGUUCAUUCACAUAGCCCUGUAACUUUGGAGUGUGUGUUUAGUGGGGUCCUGGCUCCUCAAGUGUGUUGGCUGAAGAACAGGCAGGAUAUUGCCCUGGGAAGCAACUGGAGAAGGUUGUGUUCUCAUCUUGCCAUAGAUAGCAUUGACCCAGUGGACUCUGGAAACAAUUCCAGCAUGGUGGGAAACAACUCUGGAGAUGUAAAAUAUGUGGCAUACAUGGUUAAUGUACUUGAACACGCUCCUACUCUAAGGGACUACAGGAUCAGAUAGUGUCUCUAUUUUCCACAGUACACUUUAUCUCUGAUGUUUGUAGGAACCCAGCUGCCAACCAUAACUGGUUUCAUAAUUCACAGCCUAAUCAUCCUUCCUCAAGACAUCGAACUGCAGGAAAUUGACUGAAAUUCAGUGGGGUUAUUAUGCAAGAUACUAGGCUACAUCAGUGUUUAGCAGAUAAUGAGGCUGGAUUUAUGCAGUCUACUGGAAGACUUGAAAUAGAAAAAGGCAAUGGAUUCAAGCGAGUUAUAUUUAUGGCACCAGCAAGCAUAAAAGUGGUAGAUGGAGACUUUGUUUACUCUGUCCUACAAUGCUACCAGGCUGCUGGGUCCGGUCAUUUGUUGGUAUGACAUCCACGGAUUGAUAACCAGCCAUCUGUCUUAAGUCCUUAGAUCUAAAUCCCAAAAGUCACACUUAUCAAGACCUGGAAUCUUGGACCUAGACCCUGCCUAUUUCAUCAUGUCCCAAGCUGGCUUGAGCUCUCUCCAUACUCAGGCUGUGAUGCAGGAGCAUGUGGAGAAAUACAUCUGCGAAGCUACAAAUGAACAUGGUACCAUGCAGGCAGAACCACCUCUCACGGUUGUUCCUUUUGAAACAAACAAAAGCAGAAACAGUCGCACUUUUUGAUGUUACUCAGAAUAAUGAAAAAAAUAGGAGAUGGUUCAGAAAGUGGAUUAUUCAGCUCAUUUCCAGAGAAAGUACACCUCAGUGCAGUGGAAUCACCAUCAGAGAAAAAUGCUGGUGGCAUCUCUGUUCCUGAGGUCCCCAUCAAAUUGAAACCCUACAGACCCCCAUAGCAGAUACAUACAACCUUGUGUGGAGGGCAGGCAAGGAAAGUGGACUGCCCAUCAAUGCCUAUUUUGUGAAGUAUCAAAAUCUGGAGUAUGAAGUUGGUGUGGUGGGAAGUUGGCACAGGGUUUGAAUCCCAGGAGGUGAAAGUGAGCUUCAUUUAGCUGAAAUAGAGCCAUCUAGUCUUUAUGAACUCUUGAUGGUAGCAAGAAGUGCUGCAGGUGAAAACCCACCUGCCAUGCUUACCUUCUGAACCAGCAAAGAAAAAACAGCAUCAUCAAAAAACACCCAGGCAUCCUCUCAACCCACAAGCACCCCCGAGUAUCCUGUUGUUUCAGAAGCUUCAAACAACAAUUUUGGAGUGGUGCUUACAGAUUCAUCUAGGCACAGUGGUGCUCCAGAGGCACCAGAUCACCUGAUUAUCUCCACUGCAUCAGAGAGGUUGGUCUAUGUCACUUGAAUUCCUUGGGCAGAUGGGAAUUCUUCAAUCCCUGCCUUCGAGGUCAAAUAUAAAUGGAUGAGGACCAGUGACUGGCUGGUGGCAGCUGAAGAUAUCCUUCCUUCCAAAAUUUCUGUGGAAGUUUGUAGUAUAGAACCAGGUUCAACAUACAAAUUUAGGGUCAUUGCUAUCAACCAUUAUGAAGAGAGUUUUCAGAGUUCAGCGUCUCAUCCUUACCUGGUGACUGGGUUCCCCAAACUUUUUUCCAACUGUCCAAUAAUGGACCUCACAUUGUGUACACGGAGGCUGUCAGCAUUACUCAGAUUGUGCUAAAGUGGACAUACAUUCCGUGAAAUAAUAACGCUUCCAUUCUUUUAUAUCUAUUACCGACCCACAGAUAAUGACAAUGACAAUGUUUAUAAGAGGGAUGUUACAGAAGGUUCAAAGGAGUGGCACAUGAUUGGCCAUCUGCUGUCAGAAACUUCCUAUGGCAUUAAAAUGCAGUGCUUCAGUGAAGGAGAAGAAAUGAGUUUAGCAGUAUGAUGAUCUGCGAGACUAAAGUAAAAUGCGUUCCUGGAGCUUCUGAGUAUCCGAAAGACUUGAGUACCCGUCUGAAUUCCUCAGGAAGUGAAGGAAAUGUGAGGCCAGCAACCAGCCCUGACAGAAGCAGUGACCUGUUCUAUCUGAUCCUUGGCUGUAUGCUGGGUGUCUUGGGCCUCAUUCUUAUGGUUUUCAUUGAAAUGUGCCUGCGGAGGAAUCGCCAGCAGAAUAUCAUACAGAAAUAUGACCCUCCAGGAUACCUCUAUCAAGGAUCAGAUAUUAAUGGGCAGAUGAUGUAAUACACCACUCUCUCAGGAGCAAAUGAGAUAAAUGGAAGUGUUCAUGGAGGUUUACUGAGCCAUGUCGGUCUCAGCAGUGGCUGUUCCCACCUUCACCAUAAGGUUCUCAAUGGAGUCAGUGUAAUUGUGAAUGGGAGCUUAAAUGAAGGACUUUACUCUGGUGCUGUCAGGAUAAUAGAAACGAUGUCAGCUGUGAUCGCACAGAAAAUCCAGAAGAGUUCAGCAGAGGAGACAGCUGUGUCUAUUCAGAAACAGACAGCAACAAUUUACAUUGGAAUCCUCUUAUUUUGCCACCUAUCUCAGAGGACGGUGCUGAAAAGACAACAUGGCCUCCGCCUGGUGUUCCUUUGGACAGCCCCUCAGGGGUCCUCCAGCAGCCCCAGGAAACUGGAGGAUGUGCAAACAACCAGUCAUCUUCUGACUUCAAGCCUGUAACCAACUGCACAAAACAGGCCUGGGAGUGAACUGUGUGAAGGAUCUUAACUCAAAUCAGAGAAAAUCAUUCUUUAUUUUUUUUGCAGUAUAAUGUCAUGUGAAUGUAUCCUAAAAAUGUGUGCCCUUUUGUAUUAUUUAUGCCUUAAAAGUUUUCUUACCCAUUGCUUCCUUGCGCUCAGUAAGAAACAACCUUGUUUUGCAUAGCUUUCAAUCACCUGGAGGGCAGAGGGAUCAUUCCAUAUUUUCUAACAACUGUAGUGGCAGUAAGAACUCCUCAUGCAAACGAUUCCAUCUCUUGGCUGCUUCAGCUCAGAGGAAAUGCAGGGGCCAAUUGAAGGUUGACACCAGUCAGGUUUUCAGAUGGAAAACUGUCUUUUAAUAGU
rnacentral:lncRNA from 1 species